AGUCUAGCAUGUUGUUCUACUUGAACUAUACUUGGGCAGAGGAGUGUUCAUUUUUACUCUACUUUUAUAAAACCCUACAAAUAAACUCAAGCCAUAAAAAUAUUAGAGAUGAAAAUGCACAUAGAGUAAACACCAUUUACAAAAAAACAUAGCUAAAAUGCUACCUACCCUCCUGGGAAGUGUAUCAUGGAAUAUGUAAGCUAGGUAGAUUUAGAUUCAAAGUUGAUUUUCUCAGAAUUUCUUCAAGCCGGUGUUGCAGAAAAAGAAACAUCAAAACAAAACACUGGUCUAAUAUAUGCAUAUCUAUCUUUAUUUUGGUCUUAACUGUAACACAUAUUAUUAAUAUACAGCAAAUACAUACUAGUAUGUCAAGCACUGCUGUGACUAAUCCCAUCAGGAGCAGGCAUUAUUUUCCCCAAUCUGUAUUUGGGAAAAUAGCACAUUGAGGUAUAUAAUUAACUAAAGUCAUAGAAAAGUAGAGGCAUAUGUUUUGGGUUUUUAUAUUAAGUUAUUUAACUUUAAAUUUUUGCAUAUAAUUUUUCUACAGAUUUCUAGUCACUAUAAUGCCAACUUUAUAAGGAUUUACUGAGAGGUAAUCAUUUAAUGAUAAAAUUGACUAUAUCAUUUACUAUGACUUAUCUGUAGAAAUUUAAGAUUUUUUUUUAUCUAUACUCAAAAAUUCUAUUUUUAUUUAAACCUAGAAGAUAUCUGUAACUGCAUGUAAUAAAAUUUAGCACCUAAGUACUACGUAAGUGCCCAGUACAUUCUCCAGCUUAGUAAUGAAUCAUCAAUAGUUCAGUCUACUGGAGAGACAUCUGAGAAGCAUUUGUAAGGGCUUCUGGAGGAUAAAACCUAUUUUCUUAACUUUUCAGAUGUUUACCUAUUGUUCAGGUUUUUUUUUUUUCUAGUAUAAUGCUUCUAAAUGGAAAGGUUUGUUUAUUAUAGUUUGUCUAAAACAAUACAAGGAAGUGUAGCACAGUCUGACUUUGUCUACCACAGGAGGACAUGGUUUGCAACUAAUCCUAGUGGAUUAUGAAUAUUCAAACUAGGUGGCAUUCACCCCUUUUGAAGCUAUAUGUUAUAUAAAACAAUCACAAAGAAAAUAUAUAGAACAACUAGAAAAGUUUAAUAUAUUUUGAUGUUUUCACAUUGUACUAUUUUUUUAAAAAGUAAAAUGUCAGACAUGCUUCC
rnacentral:lncRNA from 1 species